UACGAAGGGGGCUAGCGUUGCUCGGAAUCACUGGGCGUAAAGCGCACGUAGGCGGAUCUUUAAGUCAGGGGUGAAAUCCCAAGGCUCAACCUUGGAACUGCCUUUGAUACUGGGGAUCUCGAGUCCGGAAGAGGUUGGUGGAACUGCGGAGUGUAGAGGUGAAAUUCGUAGAUAUUCGCAAGACACCAGUGGCGAAGGCGGCCACACGUGCCCGGUACUCGUAC
rnacentral:rRNA from 1 species